GAUGAAGAACGUAGCAAAAUGCGAUACUUGGUGUGAAUUGCAGAAUCCCGUGAACCAUCGAGUUUUUGAACGCAAGUUGCGCCCGAAGCCUUUUGGCCGAGGGCACGUCUGCCUGGGCGUCACGCAUCGCGUCGCCCCCCACAAUUCUCCGUAAAGGGAACGUGUGUUUUGGGGGCGGAUAUUGGUCUCCCGUGCUCAUGGCGUGGUUGGCCGAAAUAGGAGUCCUUUCGAUGGACGCACGAACUAGUGGUGGUCGUAAAAACCCUCGUCUUUUGUUUCGUGCUGUUGCUCGCAAGGUAAACUCUUUAAAAACCCCAAUGUGUCGUCUCUUGACGACGCUUCGACCGCGACCCCAGGUCUGGCGGGACUACCCGCUGAGUUUAAGCAUAUCAAUAAGCGGAGGA
rnacentral:misc_RNA from 1 species